rnacentral:sRNA from 1 species
GCUUAACCCUCUUCUGACUGGAUACUGUGAGGCCCCGAGAGCGCUGUCCUGGUGAGCACGGGCACAGCUGUCCCUGCCCCACUGGCUUGGCUGUGGUACACGGUCUCUGAAGGGGGUGGCCGUGCCCUGGCCCCUGCCACACAGUGAACACAGAGGAGCUGAGGGGGCAGGGCCAGCCUCACUCCCGCAGCCACUGCUGCCCAUCUGGCCACACACAGGAUGCCCCUGGUAGUGUCUGCUCUGGUGCCAGGGCUGUUGGGGGCAGGCUGGAGGAAGAUGGCACUAAGCCAAUAAUGGGCAGGAAUUGUCCCAACCUGAGGUCCCACCUCUAUCCAGCUGGGAGGCCUUGGUGUCCCCACCUGCACACAAAGGCACAGGAGCAGGUAGUCACAGAGCCCAGCCUCAGAGCAGCAGGCAGCCUCACACGCUGCCCACAGCAGUGCCCAGCAGGCCCCUGAGCCCUCAUGCAUCCCUGAGCCGUGAGCACCCAACGUGCCAAGGCUCCUGCCACCCACCUUUGCCCACCCACAGGCCUGCCUGCUGCUCCAGAAGACCCUGUCCAUGCGGGAGGUGAGGUCGUGCUUUGAGGACCCCGAGUGGAAGCAGCUGAUGGGCCAGGUCCUAGCAAAGGUCACUGAGAACUUGCGCGUGCUGGGGGAGGCGCAGACCAAGGCGCAGCAUCAGCAGGCACUGUCCUCCCUGGAGCUGCUCAACGUUCUCUUCAGGACCUGCAAACAUGAGAAGCUGACCUUGGACCUGACGGUGCUCCUGGGUGUGCUGCAGGGGCAACAGCAGAGCCUACAGCAGGGGGCACACUCCACCGGCUCCAGCCGCCUGCACGACCUCUACUGGCAGGCCAUGAAAACCCUGGGAGUCCAGCGCCCCAAGUUGGAGAAGAAGGAUGCCAAGGAGGUCCCCAGCGCCACCCACAGCCCCAUCAGCAAGAAGCGGAAGAAAAAGGGAUUCUUGCCAGAGACGAAGAAGCGCAAGAAACGCAAGUCAGAGGAUGGCACGCCAGCGGAGGAUGGCACACCUGCAGCCACCGGCGGGAGCCAGCCCCCCAGCAUGGGCAGGAAGAAGAGGAACAGGACAAAGGCUAAGGUCCCAGCCCAGGCAAACGGGACGCCAACCACCAAGAGUCCAGCCCCUGGCGCCCCCACCCUGAGCCCCAGCACCCCUGCCAAAUACCCAAAACUGCAGAAGAAAAACCAGAAGCCGUCCCAGGUGAAUGGAGCUCCCGGGUCUCCCACGGAACCUGCAGGCCAAAAGCAGCAUGAGAAGGCUCUUCCCAAAAAGGGGGUCUUGGGCAAAUCACCACUGUCCGCGCUGGCACGGAAAAAGGCAAGGCUGUCUUUGGUCAUCAGGAGUCCCAGCCUGCUUCAGAGUGGGGCCAAGAAGAAGAAAGUGCAGCUGAGGAAGGCAGGGAAGCCCUGAGCACAGGUACGGGCCGCCCUCAGCACAGGUACGGGCCGCCCUCAGCACAGGUACGGGCCGCCCUCAGCCCCUGCCUCCAUCUGCCUGAGACGCCUAAUUUUUUUUUUUUUUUUUUAAUCAUGAUUUUAAUACGCAAGCUGUUUCUAAGGCGCCAGCUCUGCCACUGGGGAGGGUGGCUGUUGCCGCCUGCCCGGGCAUCCUGCUCUGGCAAGCACAGCCUGAGCCAUUCCUGCAGGGGUCCCAGGGUGCAGAGACCUCCCCGCCCCCGGUUCUGGGCUGGGACCCUGGCUCCAGGGCUCUGGUGUUCGCCUGGGUGGGCGCAGGUUGAUGUGCUGGCUGCAGGCAGGUGUGACCAUCUCUCGUGCCUGCCACCCCUUUGCCCCCAGGCUUUUUUGCUGUGAGGGAGCCACCAGGGGGUGAUUUAAAUAGGUUUAUUUCUUCAUUUACAAGAGGAAUAUAUUUGGUUUCUCUCUUAAGACUCUGAGAUUCACAAUCAGCAGCUCUAAAAAAUAAAGGAGCAGUUUGGCUUCCGGAAGGAAGAGGAGGC